rnacentral:rRNA from 1 species
AAAUUGAAGAGUUUGAUCAUGGCUCAGAUUGAACGCUGGCGGCAGGCCUAACACAUGCAAGUCGAGCGGUAGCACAGAGAGCUUGCUCUCGGGUGACGAGCGGCGGACGGGUGAGUAAUGUCUGGGAAACUGCCUGAUGGAGGGGGAUAACUACUGGAAACGGUAGCUAAUACCGCAUAACGUCGCAAGACCAAAGUGGGGGACCUUCGGGCCUCAUGCCAUCAGAUGUGCCCAGAUGGGAUUAGCUAGUAGGUGGGGUAACGGCUCACCUAGGCGACGAUCCCUAGCUGGUCUGAGAGGAUGACCAGCCACACUGGAACUGAGACACGGUCCAGACUCCUACGGGAGGCAGCAGUGGGGAAUAUUGCACAAUGGGCGCAAGCCUGAUGCAGCCAUGCCGCGUGUGUGAAGAAGGCCUUCGGGUUGUAAAGCACUUUCAGCGGGGAGGAAGGCGGUGAGGCUAAUAACCUCAUCGAUUGACGUUACCCGCAGAAGAAGCACCGGCUAACUCCGUGCCAGCAGCCGCGGUAAUACGGAGGGUGCAAGCGUUAAUCGGAAUUACUGGGCGUAAAGCGCACGCAGGCGGUCUGUCAAGUCGGAUGUGAAAUCCCCGGGCUCAACCUGGGAACUGCAUUCGAAACUGGCAGGCUAGAGUCUUGUAGAGGGGGGUAGAAUUCCAGGUGUAGCGGUGAAAUGCGUAGAGAUCUGGAGGAAUACCGGUGGCGAAGGCGGCCCCCUGGACAAAGACUGACGCUCAGGUGCGAAAGCGUGGGGAGCAAACAGGAUUAGAUACCCUGGUAGUCCACGCCGUAAACGAUGUCGAUUUGGAGGUUGUGCCCUUGAGGCGUGGCUUCCGGAGCUAACGCGUUAAAUCGACCGCCUGGGGAGUACGGCCGCAAGGUUAAAACUCAAAUGAAUUGACGGGGGCCCGCACAAGCGGUGGAGCAUGUGGUUUAAUUCGAUGCAACGCGAAGAACCUUACCUGGUCUUGACAUCCACAGAACUUUCCAGAGAUGGAUUGGUGCCUUCGGGAACUGUGAGACAGGUGCUGCAUGGCUGUCGUCAGCUCGUGUUGUGAAAUGUUGGGUUAAGUCCCGCAACGAGCGCAACCCUUAUCCUUUGUUGCCAGCGGUCCGGCCGGGAACUCAAAGGAGACUGCCAGUGAUAAACUGGAGGAAGGUGGGGAUGACGUCAAGUCAUCAUGGCCCUUACGACCAGGGCUACACACGUGCUACAAUGGCAUAUACAAAGAGAAGCGACCUCGCGAGAGCAAGCGGACCUCAUAAAGUAUGUCGUAGUCCGGAUUGGAGUCUGCAACUCGACUCCAUGAAGUCGGAAUCGCUAGUAAUCGUAGAUCAGAAUGCUACGGUGAAUACGUUCCCGGGCCUUGUACACACCGCCCGUCACACCAUGGGAGUGGGUUGCAAAAGAAGUAGGUAGCUUAACCUUCGGGAGGGCGCUUACCACUUUGUGAUUCAUGACUGGGGUGAAGUCGUAACAAGGUAACCGUAGGGGAACCUGCGGUUGGAUCACCUCCUUACCUUAAAGAA